AGAUUGAACGCUGGCGGCAGGCCUAACACAUGCAAGUCGAGCGGUAGAGAGGUGCUUGCAUCUCUUGAGAGCGGCGGACGGGUGAGUAAUGCCUAGGAAUCUGCCUAGUGGUGGGGGAUAACGUUCGGAAACGGACGCUAAUACCGCAUACGUCCUACGGGAGAAAGCGGGGGACCUUCGGGCCUCGCGCCAUUAGAUGAGCCUAGGUCGGAUUAGCUAGUUGGUGAGGUAAUGGCUCACCAAGGCGACGAUCCGUAACUGGUCUGAGAGGAUGAUCAGUCACACUGGAACUGAGACACGGUCCAGACUCCGACGGGAGCAGCA
rnacentral:rRNA from 1 species